ACCAGGCAAUGAAUAAGUGGAAAAGGAUUAUUCAUAACUGAAGGAGAUAUGUAAUCACUAUGCAGAACAGCUGAACAGAAUCAGCCUAGACUUGAUUCAAGUAAAAGCGUGGCAGAGUGAUGCAGAGAUCAAAGACAUGAAAGAAACCAUGUUUGCACUGGAAGAUGAGGCGGAGCAGCUCCAGGCUGUCAAGUUACACGUAGUUCAGCGUUUGCUGAGUUGGUGUGCCUGGCAACUCUAUGCGACUACCACGAACCUGAGAAUUGACUGUGUAUUCCAGACGUUGACUAGCUGGUUAGAGUGAGAGUUGACAGCGUGUGCCCCAUUCCUACUUGGACAUGGCAUGCAGUGGAACUGCGGCGUCUCGGCAUUCAGUGUUGUUGCCGUCCAGGCUGUUCUCAGGAUGCAACUGAAAACCUAGACGGCAUCAUCAUCAGUGUAUUCUUCCAAACCCAGCAGCAUGGUUGAGAUGAAAAGUGAAAGAAGACAAAUUCUGUUUUGUUUUGUUUUUGUUUUUGUGAUAUAUUGCUGUUGAGAGUAGGGUUGUAUUGUCCCUAAAUCCUUAAAAGUCAGCACAGACACACCAAGAAAACCAGUGUAUAAUUAAUGUCCACAGCAAAAUUCAGGCCCACCCUGUGGUUAUAUCAUCAUGUAUCCAAGACUGACGAUAACCCAAGCAGUCUUUUGAAAAGCUGUUAAACUUUUUUUGAAAAGAUUUUGAAGUAUUAUUCAGAUAUCUUUUUGCUCAGAGACCCUGGGACACUUGAAUCCAGCCCUAAACCAAUCACUCCUCCUGGGACAUAAGAUCCUGAUAGGAGAGAAAUGGACUGAAAAAAUAAAAAGAAAUUAAGGAAUGUUUUCUACUCUGCA
rnacentral:lncRNA from 13 species